rnacentral:lncRNA from 1 species
GGGCGUGACUCACUCACUUUCUAAACUUUUACGCUGUCAUUUACCAUAAUUCUCUUCUUUGAGUGUCUCUGUGUGGUGCCCUCAUUACUGGCAAUCCUCUCCUUGUUUUCCCAAUUUAUGUAAUUAAAGGCCUAGCUGUGUGAGCAUUUCCCCAGCUUCAUUUACAAUGGUACCAAGCUGAAGACCAGAAUAAAGUUGUUCUCAGGGCAGAGACAUCAGAAGCCCUUCCACACUGUACGCCAAGCCUCUCCUGCAUGGGAUAUGAGUGGCACAAGGGUUGGAAUGAGCUGUAGAGGCUGACCCUUUGGAAAGACUUCAUCAAAGGCAGAAGACAAGGAGACAAGGAGACUCCCGGAGGCCCAGAUUUUCAGCUGUUCAACAAUGUCUAUAAGGUGAUG